GGGUGCUCGAGUGGCGAACGGGUGAGUAUUACGUGAGUAACCUGCCCUCAACUGUGGGAUAAGCCUGGGAAACUGGGUCUAAUACUGCAUAUUCUUCUUUCACCGCAUGGUGGGGGUUGGAAAGUUUUUUCGGUUGGGGAUGGGCUCGCGGCCUAUCAGCUUGUUGGUGGGGUGAUGGCCUACCAAGGCGGUGACGGGUAGCCGGCCUGAGAGGGUGGUCGGCCACAUUGGGACUGAGAUACGGCCCAGACUCCUACGGGAGGCAGCAGUGGGGGAUAUUGCACAAUGGGCGCAAGCCUGAUGCAGCGACGCCGCGUGAGGGAUGAAGGCUUUCGGGUUGUAAACCUCUUUCGGUACAGAACAAGGCACGUUUUUUGCGUGUGGAGGGUAUGUGCAGAAGAAGCGCCGGCUAACUACGUGCCAGCAGCCGCGGUAAUACGUAGGGCGCGAGCGUUGUCCGGAAUUAUUGGGCGUAAAGGGCUCGUAGGCGGCUUGUUGCGCCUGCUGUGAAAACGCGGGGCUUAACUCCGCGCGUGCAGUGGGUACGGGCAGGCUUGAGUGUGGUAGGGGUGACUGGAAUUCCAGGUGUAGCGGUGGAAUGCGCAGAUAUCUGGAGGAACACCGAUGGCGAAGGCAGGUCACUGGGCCAUUACUGACGCUGAGGAGCGAAAGCGUGGGUAGCGAACAGGAUUAGAUACCCUGGUAGUCCACGCUGUAAACGUUGGGAACUAGGUGUGGGGCCCUUUUCCGGGGUUCUGCGCCGUAGCUAACGCAUUAAGUUCCCCGCCUGGGGAGUACGGCCGCAAGGCUAAAACUCAAAGGAAUUGACGGGGGCCCGCACAAGCGGCGGAGCAUGCGGAUUAAUUCGAUGCAACGCGAAGAACCUUACCAAGGCUUGACAUACACCGGGAGCAUGCAGAGAUGUGUGUGCCUUUUUGGCUGGUGUACAGGUGGUGCAUGGUUGUCGUCAGCUCGUGUCGUGAGAUGUUGGGUUAAGUCCCGCAACGAGCGCAACCCUUGUCUCGUGUUGCCAGCGCGUUAUGGUGGGGACUCACGAGAGACUGCCGGGGUUAACUCGGAGGAAGGUGGGGAUGACGUCAAAUCAUCAUGCCCCUUAUGUCUUGGGCUUCACGCAUGCUACAAUGGCCGGUACAGUGGGUUGCGAUACUGUGAGGUGGGAGCGAAUCUCUGAAAGCCGGUCUCAGUUCGGAU
rnacentral:rRNA from 1 species